rnacentral:rRNA from 1 species
GAUGAACGCUGGCGGCGUGCCUAAUACAUGCAAGUCGAGCGAACAGACGAGGAGCUUGCUCCUCUGACGUUAGCGGCGGACGGGUGAGUAACACGUGGAUAACCUACCUAUAAGACUUGGAUAACUUCGGGAAACCGGAGCUACUACCGGAUAAUAUAUUGAACCGCAUGGUUCAAUAGUUAAAGACGGUUUUGCUGUCACUUAUAGAUGGAUCCGCGCCGCAUUAGCUAGUUGGUAAGGUAACGGCUUACCAAGGCGACGAUGCGUAGCCGACCUGAGAGGGUGAUCGGCCACACUGGAACUGAGACACGGUCCAGACUCCUACGGGAGGCAGCAGUAGGGAAUAUUCCGCAAUGGGCGAAAGCCUGACGGAGCAACGCCGCGUGAGUGAUGAAGGUCUUCGGAUCGUAAAACUCUGUUAUUAGGGAAGAACAAAUGUGUAAGUAACUAUGCACGUCUUGACGGUACCUAAUCAGAAAGCCACGGCUAACUACGUG